rnacentral:rRNA from 1 species
AACGAACGCUGGCGGCAUGCCUAACACAUGCAAGUCGAACGAGACCUUCGGGUGUAGUGGCGCACGGGUGCGUAACGCGUGGGAACCUGCCCUUAGGUUCGGAAUAACACCCCGAAAGGGGUGCUAAUACAGGAAAAUGUCUUCGGACCAAAGAUUUAUCGCCUUUGUUUGGGCCCGCGUUGGAUUAGCUGGUUGGUAGGGUAAAAGCCUACCAAGGCGACGAUCCAUAGCUGGUCUGAGAGGCUGAUCAGCCACACUGGGACUGAGACACGGCCCAGACUCCUACGCGAGGCAGCAGUGGGGAAUACUGGACUAUGGGCGAAAGCCUGAUCCAGCUAUGCCGCGUGAGUGAUGAAGGCCUUAGGGUUGUAAAGCUCUUUUACCCGGGAUGAUAAUGACAGUACCGGGAGAAUAAGCUCCGGCUAACUCCGUG